rnacentral:rRNA from 1 species
UACGUAGGGUGCAAGCGUUAAUCGGAAUUACUGGGCGUAAAGCGUGCGCAGGCGGUUAUGCAAGACAGAUGUGAAAUCCCCGGGCUCAACCUGGGAACUGCAUUUGUGACUGCAUGGCUAGAGUACGGUAGAGGGGGAUGGAAUUCCUCGUGUAGCAGUGAAAUGCGUAGAUAUGCGGAGGAACACCGAUGGCGAAGGCAAUCCCCUGGACCUGUACUGACGCUCAUGCACGAAAGCGUGGGGAGCAAACAGG